AUCCUUUUGUAGUUCAUAAGCAUGAUGAUUGGGUUUUCACGCGCAUGCGUGAGAUGUGCCUCCCUCAAAUCUUGUUACGGCGUCGGCACAUUACCCGUCUGACG
ensembl:snoRNA